rnacentral:tRNA from 1 species
GUAACUGAAACCUUUGGCUUUCCAAGUGUGUCCUUUUGAGGAUUCCUAAUCCAUGUGCCGCAGGUCCGAUUCCUGCCGGGGGCACCA